UUUUAGCGUGGAGGAAAGUCCGGGCAGCGCAGGGCACCGUACCUUAUGAAAAUGAGGGUCUUGCUUAGCAAGAACAGAGAGUGCAACAGAAAAUAAACCGUCACGCCCUUGGCGUGAUAAGGGUGAAAAGGUGAGGUAAGAGCUCACCGCUCCUAAGGUAACAAAGGAGGCUAGGUAAACCUUACGGGCUGAAAGGUCAAAUAAACCGGAGCUAAAGUUGCUCGCUUUUCCGGAGGGUAGACUGCUUAGAUAAAUGAUAGAGCUUGUGCUCGCACAAGAACAGAACCCGGCUUACGCU
rnacentral:RNase_P_RNA from 1 species